rnacentral:miRNA from 1 species
CACGGGCUGGGGUCUCAGGUUCUCAAUCAGAACCUCGGCCUCUCUCCCCAG